ACGUAAUAGAUACCCCGGUAGUCCACGCCCUAAACGAUGUCUACUAGUUGUUGGUGGAGUAAAAUCCAUGAGUAAACGCAGCUAAACGCGUGAAGUAGACCGCCUGGGGAGUACGGUCGCAAGAUUAAAACUCAAAUGAAUUGACGGGGGCCCGCACAAGCGGUGGAUUAUGUGGAUUAAAUUCGAUGCAACGCGAAAAACCUUACCUGGCCUUGACAUGUAACGAACUUUCCAGAGAUGGAUUGGUGCUCGAAAGAGAACGUUAACACAGGUGCUGCAUGGCUGUCGUCAGCUCGUGUCGUGAGAUGUUGGGUUAAGUCCCGCAACGAGCGCAACCCUUGCCAUUAAUUGCCAUCAUUUAGUUGGGCACUUUAAUGGGACUGCCGGUGACAAACCGGAGGAAGUGGGGAUGACGUCAAGUCCUCAUGGCCCUUAUGGCCAGGGCUUCACACGUAAUACAAUGGUCGGUACAGAGGGUUGCCAACCCGGCAGGGGUAGCCAAUCCCAGAAAGCCGAUCGUAGUCC
rnacentral:rRNA from 1 species